rfam:Sporanaerobacter acetigenes DSM 13106 genome assembly, contig: EJ96DRAFT_scaffold00015.15
CCUGGUGAUUAUAGCAAGAGGGUCACACCUGUUCCCAUACCGAACACAGAAGUUAAGCCUUUUUAGCUGCCGAUGGUACUUGGGUGGUAACGCCCUGGGAGAGUAGGACAUCGCCAGAU